rnacentral:rRNA from 1 species
UACAGAGGGGGCAAGGCGUUAUUCGGAAUUAUUGGGCGUAAAGGGCGCGUAGGCGGCCUGGCAAGUGGAAGGUGAAAUCCCUCGGCUUAACCGAGGAACUGCCCUCCAAACUGCUUGGCUUGAGACCGGGAGAGGUGAGUGGAAUUCCCAGUGUAGCGGUGAAAUGCGUAGAUAUUGGGAGGAACACCAGUGGCGAAGGCGGCUCACUGGACCGGUACUGACGCUGAGGCGCGAAAGCGUGGGGAGCAAACGGGG